CCUACGGGAGGCAGCAGUGAGGAAUAUUGGUCAAUGGACGAGAGUCUGAACCAGCCAAGUAGCGUGAAGGAUGACUGCCCUAUGGGUUGUAAACUUCUUUUAUAUGGGAAUAAAAUGUUCCACGUGUGGGAUUUUGUAUGUACCAUAUGAAUAAGGAUCGGCUAAUUCCGUGCCAGCAGCCGCGGUAAUACGGAGGAUCCGAGCGUUAUCCGGAUUUAUUGGGUUUAAAGGGAGCGUAGGCGGAUGGUUAAGUCCGUUGUGAAAUUUUGCGGCUCAACCGUAAAAUUGCAGUUGAAACUGGCAGUCUUGAGUACAGUAGAGGUGGGCGGAAUUCGUGGUGUAGCGGUGAAAUGCUUAGAUAUCACGAAGAACUCCGAUUGCGAAGGCAGCUCACUGGACUGCAACUGACACUGAGGCUCGAAAGUGUGGGUAUCAAACAGGAUUAGAUACCCCAGUAGUC
rnacentral:rRNA from 1 species